GCCGCUGCUGGGUGAGAAGAGCUUCCAGCUUGAAAGUCUGCUCUCAGAGGAAGAGUCCUGGGGACCUGCAACAUCCAUGUGAAAUCGUGUGUUUCCACGAGAUUGACCUACGGUCCCCUGUCACCAGGAUCACCUGAGAUUCUGCUCACUGUCACACGUCAUACUCACAGUCAUGAUGAGAUCACUACCCAGCUCUGAGCACCAGGAGGACCUCGGCAUGUCUAAAACCAAUCUUAAGGCCAAGUGCAGAGCCUUAGGGACAGAGUUAGAGAAACAGCUGCAGCCAGAAGCCUGAGCUGCUGAGUGGCUGAUGUGGAAGAAGGCUCACCAAUGAAGCAAGGAGCAAGGGAACCAGCAAUGAGGAGGAGAGAGAUGCAGGAGCCAGGGAAGGCCCCAGAGCCAUGGAGCACCCAGCAGAUUAUCAGGGAGGCACCGAGGACCCGUGAGCUGACCAUGGCUGGAUGGAAGGCCCUAGGACCAGCACGGCUAAGCCCCAGGGAGCAAUGUCAUGGAAAGCCAGGACUCAUGAAGUAGCAUGACAGUCAAGGCAUGAGAGGCAGAGAUAGAGCUACUUGCUGAAAACUACAUGUUCAGUGGAGAAAAAUCUCCCGCUCCCAGGAGAGAACUGUCUUGCCACCUGGGAUCCUGAAGCUUCCACUUUGGCACCCCUGAUGCUUAGACGGGGUAGAAGGCUUAUUAAGCAUCUGUAACAGCUUUAGGAUUCCCGUGCAUGAUCUCAGGAGAUUGGACUUCUGGCAAAGACAGUGGACAUCUGGGGCCGCAGCCCCGAGGCCAGGAUCAAACCCACAACCUCAAGGUUCCUUAUCAGAUUCGUUUCUGCUGCACCACUGCAGGAACUCCCAUAAGGUUCUUAAUUAAAGAGGAAGAGACCAGAGUGGGCGAUCCCCUCUCCUCUCCUUUCCUCUCCCUUCUCUCCCCUGCCCCACACCCCUCUUUAUCUGCCUUGAAAGAACACAAUUAGAAGGCAGCCGGGAAGAGAAACCUCACCAAUAAUCAGAAAUGUGGCUCCUUGAGCUCAGACUUCUAGCAUCCAGAAUUGUGAGAAAUAAAUGUCUGCUGCUUAAGCCA
ensembl:lncRNA